CUGGGUUCAAGCUGUUGUCUAGCCUUGCCGGAGGGGAAAUAUUAGGGUGUAGAGGGUGAAUGGUUAAACAAUCUGUCAGUGUGUCUUGGGUUGCAUCAGCCGAGGAUUUCAUCUACAGAAACAACAUAAAAAGGUGUGGAAAUACAAGCGUUACCUCUGAGAAGCAGAACGCGAUGGGAGGUGCGAAGAGAGGUCGAAAAUUAAAGUGUACAAUGACGGACGGACGGACGGACAUUCAAAGCCCUUAGUUUCCUCAAUAGGACUCAACCUGCUUCACUGCCUGGGCUUGGAUAACCAACAAUUUAAAAAGAUGUCCUGAUGUCUAGCCCCUGCCAGUACAGGCCACCUCUAUUAUUACCACUGCGACCACUACAUAUAAACAACUAGAUAAAUAAAUAAAUAAACCAUCAAGACAAUAAUAUUGCGCAAAGACGAGACCAGCAGGAAAUACAUACUGCAAUCCAACAUAAGAACCUCAUGUGAAACAUGAUGAUGGUGGAAUAAUGAUUUGGGCCUUCUUGCUACAUUUGCUCUUGCAAUUAUGGCAACAAAGAAACAGAAAAAAAAUAAAGUUAAUGUUCUAUGAGGCUAAGGACAAAGACCUUUUCUUCCAAAAGUUAAAGCUGAACUGUAGAAUGCAGUUAAUGUGUGGAA